GUGCCGUAGCACAUAUACUAAAAUUGGAAUGAUACAGAGAAGAUGAGCAUGGCCCCUGCACAGGGAUGACAUGCAAAUUCAUGAAGACGUAGGUAUUUUU
ensembl:snRNA U6 U6 spliceosomal RNA